AUCUAUUUCAAAACAAGUAUCCUCACACUCGAAACAUUAAUGAUUAACCACCCACACACAAACACUUACUCAAGUAAACAGAAAAAAUGACAGUUUUGAGAUACAUACAGUUGUGCUUAACAUUUAAAUGAAGUCUUUUUUCUUUUUUUUUUUAAUGAAAGAUAAUGCAUGUCACAUUUUUCCUCUUCAAAGUACAAAUUUAACUUUGGCCACAGUGAAUAAGCCCCUCCUCUCCAUCCAUACAUUUUGGUUUUAUACUUACAAUAGCUACAGACAAUGCUAGCUUACUGCAAUCUCCUUUGAUGUUAAUUCUCCUGAAAAUGUCCUUAUUGGCGUGAUCUGAAGCCCACAAGGCUCUCUUCGGUUGGCUUUAGAUUAGGCACUUACAUAACUGUAACAUCUGGGGCCCAUUUCUGCUGUGCAAGUUCCAACAGACACAAUUUCUGGGUGUAUAAAUUCACUCAUGUUUAACAGGCGGCUGUAUUCUGGAUCAGCUGAGCUGAUAGGGGAUUCUGUUCAAUCGAACAGACAAGUGAAUACAUAUUCUCUCCAAAAGGACUGAAAUAAAUAAUGCUAUUUUGUAUGACAUGCAGCCUAAAUGUAUUCCAGUGUGUUAUGUUAACUUCUGCGCUUUGCAAAUUCAUAUCCACCCCUGCACAGAGGAUAAAGACCACAGCAGACCCUCAUUGCUGGAACUACUGGAAGGGAGAAGGUCCCUAUCCACCCCUGCACAGAGGACACAAAGACCACAGCAGACCCUUAUUGCUGGAACUACUGGAAGGGAGAAGGUCCAGGGUCACUACUCUUCUCCUGCGUUAUUUUUAUAUGUUUGGUCCCCUCUGGAGUGUUUGGUCCUGUACUGCUCUGAAGGCUCUUGGACUAACUUGUUCUUGGAAUUUUCUGAGCAGCCCGUCACUACCAUGUUCUAUAGCUUCAAAAAGCAUUGGAUCUUCAGGCUAAGAAGCACAAUACCACAAGGGGAGCUUUUUGACCACUUUAGAGACGAGAGCUAAGGCAGGCGGGUCAGGAGAGGCUGCUCGUUCUGAAGGCUGUGGUAUCUCCUUAGUGUUUGAAAUGGGGGCACAUGAUCUUUUCGUUGCCAGUGGCACCAAAAUCUGGUGUUUCAGCGAAAGCCUCCUGCUCCAAGCAGCAGCACCUCGGGUCUGAGUAGGUGACAACAGCAAAAGAUCCUUGUGUGAGGCCGCACAUCUUUGGCAGAUGUGCAGAAGAUUGGUCAUAGAGUCAUAGAGUUGUCUAGGCCGGAAGGGACCUCCAAAGGCCAUCUAGUCCGACCUCCCCGCAGUCAGCAGGGACACCCCCAACUAGACCAGGUUGCCCAGGGCCUCGUCGAGCCUCACCUUGAAUAUCUCCAGGGAUGGGGCCUCAACCACCUCCCUGGGCAACCUGUUCCAGUGCUCCACCACCCUCACAGUGAAGAACCCUCUCCUAAUCUCCAGUCUAAAUCUGUUCCCCUCCAGCUUGAAGCCAUUGCCCCUCGUCCUGUCACUGCAGGCCUUUCUAAACAGG
rnacentral:lncRNA from 1 species